rnacentral:lncRNA from 1 species
GACAGAUGAAAGGAAAAAAAAAUGAUGCUUAGAUCUAGUAAACUGGGCUAGCAUAAUAGGAAGGAAAGGGACUAGAAGAAGAAAUCAUUAAGUUCGACUAAACUAUUGAACCUUCUUUAAAGGAGCAGAGGGAGGCAAGAAAAUUAGGUGGAAAUAGGACAUGAGGGCCCUAUCUUAUUCUGCUCAAAAAGAUACAGCUGAAAUGCUACUCAAAGCCUGAAAUACUCCAAAACAGCAGAAAGAAAGGUCUUGAGGAGUUCACAGUGAAGCUAUUGAUCCUCACAGUGGUCGUGUGGACAGUGACUGAAGCUAUUACACUCACUCAGGCAUCCGAGGGCACAAGCAUCAUGACUAGCCCCAGUGGCUUUAGUUAUAGACUCUGCUGAGAGUGAUGCUUGCCAGAAAUAAAAUAUAAUGAAAAAGAGUGAAUUGUUCCCAGCAGGCAGUUUUUCAAAAUCCUGAGAGAGUCUAUGACAAAAGGCUGUGGGCAGAAUCCACUGUGAGAUGGGGCUAAAUGUGGCUGCUCAGGAGAUAGAGUCUGGACCAUCAAGGAGCCCACAUUCAAUGAGAAGCCAGGCCACCAGAAGUCCAGACACCAAAGGGAAAUGAACAUCGGGAGCUUUAAAUGGCAGGGGAAGGCAAGACAAUGUGUUGAAGGGG